rnacentral:lncRNA from 1 species
UAGCCUCACGGUCGACCAACAACUUUAGCUGGUCCACCAGCGUCGCCUUCUCCACUUCGACGGUUUCGGCCCGAUUCUUCCAGGCCGUCCGGACGUCGCCGAACCUCCGGUACCCGGCCUCCAGCUCGGACAUGGUGUAGAUUAGCUGCAAAUAGAAGGCCGAUCGUCAGAAAAAUGAAGUGAUAAAAAUAACAAUGAAGGGGAAAGGAAAA